AAGUGCCCCGCCUGGGGAGUACGGCCGCAAGGCUAAAACUCAAAGGAAUUGACGGGGGCCCGCACAAGCGGCGGAGCAUGCGGAUUAAUUCGAUGCAACGCGAAGAACCUUACCAAGGCUUGACAUGGACUGGAAAUACCUGGAAACAGGUGCCCCGCUUGCGGUCGGUUCACAGGUGGUGCAUGGUUGUCGUCAGCUCGUGUCGUGAGAUGUUGGGUUAAGUCCCGCAACGAGCGCAACCCUCGUUCUAUGUUGCCAGCGCGUUAUGGCGGGGACUCAUAGGAGACUGCCGGGGUCAACUCGGAGGAAGGUGGGGACGACGUCAAAUCAUCAUGCCCCUUAUGUCUUGGGCUUCACGCAUGCUACAAUGGCCGGUACAAAGGGUUGCGAUACUGUGAGGUGGAGCUAAUCCCAAAAAGCCGGUCUCAGUUCGGAUUGGGGUCUGCAACUCGACCCCAUGAAGUCGGAGUCGCUAGUAAUCGCAGAUCAGCAACGCUGCGGUGAAUACGUUCCCGGGCCUUG
rnacentral:rRNA from 1 species